AGCCCAACUGAAAUACAUUCCUACUACAAAAAUAAUACGAACAUGGUGUAGAAAAUUUCUCCUGCUCACCAAUGAUAUAUCUCUGAGCAACCAGGCCUGUCACUUCUGAGUAAAAGAACUAGGUCUCUCCAAACGGCCAUGGCCAGAUUCAGAAGCGGGCAUCUUCGAUGCAAUAUUCAGCGGGCGGAAAGGACUCUCCCCUCGUGUUUCUGUCCCCCCCCAGCCUCUCCUACUCACCUACUGGAUUGUAUAGGCGUCUCUCUGAGAGAACUGUCGGGACUGAGCAAGAUGAUUUACUUGUGCGGCAAGGUCCCUUGGACUUGGUGUAGGCUUUCCUGCCCCAAGAGAAUUAGCAGCAACAACAACAAAUUUAGCUAUCAUUUGUUAAAGGUAGCAGAUUCAUAUACUAACCACCAGCUUAAUGAUAGACUAUCUGAACAUCUUAGUUGUCAUCGCUAAACAUAAUAAGCUAUGUAACAAUUUAGUGAAGCUAUUAAGUUGGUUGCUAUUAACAGCACGCAUUAAUAAGUUUGUUUUAUUUAUUCAUUAAUUUAUUUACCUUCGUAAUUCCAUUCAUACUUUUCAUUCAAUAUAUUUUAGCCCCUUCGUCUUCAACGCCUUUCAGUAUGAUGGACAUAUAGAUUUGCGGCUCGGUGUUCUAUUACCACCAGUGUAUUUGCACAGAUUACCAGAACCACUGAACUACGCAACCAUGGGACCCGUUAUUGGGCAUGAAAUCGGUCACGAGAUCAACCUCUUCUUUGGUGA